AUCACGCGGAGGGAAACGCUCCCGCUCCGAGCGGGGAGGGCAGUUUCCGCCUUCUGCGUACUGUACCUACAGUAGGCGCGCCUUUCCCGGGCCAGGAUUCCCACCCUCUGCCCCACAUCCAGCGACGCGCCACAACAGGUUCCUGUUUCUUUUUCGGCCCCCCCCCCCAGGCGCGUCCACCCCGCCACAAGGACCGGGCCCUCCUCUCGCGGGGAAGUUUGAGGGCUGCGUUCAGGACAGCGCCAAAGAGUCGAAAGAAGAAUGGAUUUCAUCACUCGGUGGGUUUGGAGAGCGGCGGGUGGGCUCACAGCGCAAUCCAUGCGCCCUUUGGCAAUGUGAAACGGGCUGAGAUCAGGCUAAAACUCAUCGGGGAUCAUGAUUUAUUAACUCGAAGGCUGCCUUCGCCGUAUCAUGCCUUGCAUCCAAGUCUGUCGACUUCCGUGCACAAACCAUUAAUUAUCCAGAUUCCAGACGGUGUGGUGCAAAAUCACAAAUUGGAACCCAAAGAGUUGGAAGUCCUCUAGUCCAGCCUUUCCCAUCCUUGGGGCUCUUCUGGACCACAGCUCCCAUCAGCCCCAGGCAGCACUGGGAGUUGAGGUCCAAAAUAUAGCCAGGGGCCCAGGUUGAGAAAGGCCACUCUAAAACAACCCUAUGCUCAGUGCAUGAUCUGUAAUGCAGGAUGCAACCACAGCAUGGCUGAAAUGGCCAUCCAGCCUUUAGUUUGCUCAGAUACAUUUGCUGCAGCAAAACAAAGUCUGCCACUACCUGCUGAGGCAGUUUGGUCCACUAUGGAGCAACUCCUAUAGUCAAGAAGUUUCUCAUGUUUUUGCUAGAAUUUCUUCUGUACAAUUUCCACCCAUUGGUUCUAGAACUGCCACUAGGAACAACAGAGUAGAAGCCUGCUCUAUCUCCCUUGAAUGACAGUCCUCCAGUCUACCCUAUAUUAGUGGAUUUUAUUUCUUGCACUGUACCUAAUUUCAGGACUUUUUAUCAUGUUGGCUUUGGCCUAGUUUUACAGCCUGUCACAAUUAUUUUGAAUCUUCCAUCUUCUCAUCCAAGGCCUUCCCCUCCAGCUUGUUUCUCUAUUGGACUUCUUCCCACCCUUCACCAUUAGGUGAAGAUGCUAAACAGACAAUCACAACUAGCACAGGAAUAGAAAUUUCAUGGUGUCUAUAUGGAGCCAGAAUUAUUCAGGCAAUAUUUCCUACCCUUGCCCCUGUUCCUCUCUGGUAGCAUACCAGGCAGCAGCUCCAGCCAAAAAAUAUCUGAGGAAAGCAGGUGGAGCAGGGCAGCUGGGUCUUCCUCAGUCUGUGAUGGAAGUCUUCCCUUGUUGGCAGCUGGUAGGCAGGGGCAAAGGAAUGGGGCUGAGCAGUUGGACUUCACUGAGGGCUCUAUGGCAUGUCACCCUGGUGGUGCGGAUGUGUCAUUUGGGGUGGCCCAAUGCUUAUUUUAGGGUGCACGGUUACAGUUCCCUUACUCAUAACUGCAGACUGAGGUCAUUGUGCAUUAAACUGCUUUGCCCAAAAGCAAGCUUUUUUUGUUCCAGAACAUGACGAUGCACUUCAAAGAGGAGAGUUUCCCGAUGAUGGAGAUGUAUGAUAUAGUGUAUUAUAAUGCAUAUUGCAUAUUAUUGGGUCAAGUUAACGGUUUAGGCUAUUCAUGGAGUGCUCUGUUGAAUAAGGAACUGGGAACCAACCUCAGCAUCAUAAAAAGCAAAUAGGACUGUGAUAACUGCAAGGUCACCACCUACUUCCCAAUUGCUGAGAUAUAGAACUUGCAAAAAACCCCACCACAUUCAACCUUAUUCAGCACACUUGGUACCAGUUCACCAUUUUUGGUGUCAUGGCUUGUGUACUCAAGCCAGCUUCCAGGUUGUGGCUAUAAAAUGAUCAGCAACAUUUAGCCAGAUAUGGACUGAUUUGCUUAUUAAUGCAGCUGAUUAUAUUUAAUUGUACUGUGUGUCACUGGAGAUCGCUACUGAAAGAAUGAAAAAUUCAGACCUGGAUGCUCAGCUUUCCACUCACUCAUUGGGAAACUAACAGCAUGCCUCCAUUACUACUGAGAAGUCAGUCCUCAUUGUGUAUAGGAUUGCAGCCUAAACUUUCUAUUUGUGCCUUAGAGGAACAAGUGGCAACACAUGUAUUUUUAGCAACUUUUUAAGAGCUGUUGUUAACAACCAUAAUAUCCUGAACAAAAAUAAUAAUCCUAAAUGUUAUGAAUUAAUAAGGCCCUAGGUAAUUGGAGAUGCCCUUCAAAAUAACCACACACACACACACACAAUUUUAAGUCGAGCAUGCUUUCAGGGUAGAUUAACACAAUACUUUUGUCUUUGUCCAAAUAGUGCACCCACCAUACAAAGCUGAAUUUACAAAAUAGCAUAAUAUCUAUCUUAACACAGCACAAGUGCAAAGAGAUCAAGGAUUGUAUGAGUUUUAAGAUUCAUUAUCUAAACGAGUAGAGAUUUUUUUAUUAUUAUUAAAAAAAUGUAGCCAAAAGUGUGUUGUGAUUACCUACUGCAGCCAUGCAGUAAUAAGUGAAUGCUCAGAGCAUCAGGCCACAAUUUCCAAGUAGGUCAAGAGUAGCAGUAAGGGCAUUUCAGAUAAGAAAUUCUCUUCCCUUCCAUUAGAUUUUAUAAGAAAGGUUAACUUGUGUCAGAUACAUGACAUUGAAAGCAGCAGUCAGACAAAUGUAAGCCAUUCUGUGGCAGAUGUCAUCUUUGUUCCCAAAGAUAGAUAGAGAUAAAUGUGCUGUGGAUAAUGCAUUGCAAAACAAGAUUACGCUGAAGUUCAGCAAGUGUCACAUUUCCCCUCCACCCUACAGCUAGACUGAGUUUAUAUCGGGGGCAGCAGGAGUAAUGGUGCAGUGCCAAAUCAGUCUACUGUACAGUGUUAUUUAAUGGUCAUGUGUCUUAUUUUGAGAAGUGGAUGGAGUUUUGAACUGGUUCCAGUUCAAGCAGCUGGGCAUUUGCUAUUCCAACCUUGCUUGAUCAACAUCUAUCGCAUAGAACAUUACAGUUCUAAAUGUUAUUUCUUCAACUUUUGUUACUGAUUAAUUUCUCACAGGAGAGGUGGUGUGACUCACUGGAAGCCCAGCUCUGUGACCAGGAAGCCCUUCCUCCUACUCUCAGAUGUGUGUGUAGGGGGGAUGAUUAUAUUCAUCGUAAUGAGGGCAGGGUACUCUGCCCAUAUGUAAAGGCAAUCAUCUUAUUGUUUAGUAUUUUUUAAGGUCAUGUGUUGGUGGUAUUUUACGCUGGUUCCAAGGCACAAGCUCUGGGUCAAAUUGAGCCACAGCUGUAGAUAUUUUUCACUAGGCUGUUUUCUUUUGUUAGAGGCAAAAUGAAAACCAAACUUUGUCUUGACAUGACCCCCGAGAUGAAGCAAAUACAGUGUUCUGUAAUCUACUAGAUUAUUUUAUUAAAAUGAUCUAGGCUCCAAAGAGAUGCUUUCAACUUUCUAUGCCUAAUGAAAUGAAAUACAUCAACACAUCUUAUACUUUCUGUUUACAUUCUUAUUUUGCAUUAAUAUUUAAUCCACAAUCUAUUUUUAACUCCUAGUGUCCCAACUCCAGCUAUAUACUUGAAUGAUUUAGCUGAAUUACAGGAUAUGCUCCCUUUUAACCUAGUUUCUCUCUCCCCCACCCUCCCCCACUCCUAAAUGCCAUUUAAUGGCCCAAGCAAUAAAUGUGGCUGAACCACUUCCAAGGAUAGUACAGUAAGAUUUCUAAUGCAUAUUGACAUUAACAACCACGGCCUUGUAUUGGAGGGGGUGUGGGGUGUGGGAAGAACAUGGCAUUUGGAAACAGGUUACAAACAUAUUUUAAUGUUGUACUUUUGUUCACUGAGCUCAGCACUGAAGUUUUGGCAAAGUAUUACAUGUUUGAAAUAUGACAUUGAUCAAGCAUUUGGCAGUGGCUACAUUGACCAGGGACCCAUUGGUGCGGUUUCAGGUCUGAGUAGAAGAGCAGGCUACCUCCAGCUGAUGAUGUUCCAGAUGAUGUUUCUUUCUCAGCUCCCAUCAGCCCCAGCCAGUUAAGGAUGAUAAGUUUUGUAGUCCAACAACAUCUGGAACGAGUUAGCAACAAGUGUAGUCAAGUGAGUAAUUCAGUUCAUAGGUUUGUUUUUCUAGCCAAAGGCUAUGACAUACUUGUAUUAAGCAGUAGUAUUAAUAAAAGAAUACAGAACACAAUCCAUAAUAUAAAAAUCCAUAAUAAAAAAGACUUUGGCAAGUUCCUGAGCAUUAAAACACAGUUUCCCUUGUGCAUCUCUGACAGCUCCAAUUCUCAUAUUAUUUUGCCUUUUUAAAAUCCAAUUUGCCAACAACCAUGAUGUGAGAGAGGUUACCAGAGACACCAGAAAACUCAAAUCCAGCUAGGUUUGAGAUUAACCUCUGAUCUCCAACCAUUUUAUAGCAAUUUUUCCUUUUCCUUUUUCCUGAUCCCCACCCCUUGCAGCCAAUGCAUAGAGGGCCACUCUCUGUGUUACAAAGAUACAAAAUAAACCAAACCAUUUCUGCCAGAGUGUGGCGGUUUGCUUGGGUGAACAAACGUUUCAAAAAGAGAUCUUUUGGGUCUUCAGCACACUUUAUCAUUACACAUUUGACCUCUUCAUCCUUAGUUUCCCAUUCCAACAACAAAUUGUACAUUCUCGAUAAUAUUUUUGUACCACAUUCUAUUAUUUCCCUCUGGAAUUCUGAGAUUUCAUGAGCAAAUCCUUUCUUUUUGUCAUUUUUAAAUAAUUCAUUUACCUGGAAGUGUUGUAACCAAUUCACUACUUCACCUCUUACUUCAUUGUAUUCUCUCAAUUUUAAUUGAUUAUCUACUUCAACUAAUAAUUCUCUAUAUGUUAUCCAUUUUGUUCUCAUAUUUGGCUUCUUUACUGAGAUUGCUUCCGUUGGUGAAAUCCACCAGCAUUUGCAAUUUUAUGACAAAAGACAGAAUUAGAUACAAAUAGAUGGAGAAUUCAGUUUGGACAUGCAUGAAAUAAUAAUGAAAUAAUGGAACCAUGGAGAGGGUAGGGGGAAGUCAAGGGAUUUGAGAAAUCCCACAUUUGGAUAUUGUAUAAACAGUACGAAAAACGUUACAGUUGUUUUUUUAUUUAAAUUUUUUCUUUUCAGUGUUUAUUUUUAUAUGAUGUUUGUUUUCAUUAAAACUAAUAAAAAAUAUUUUUU